GAUGAACCAUGUGAAAGUGCCAGUUUUGUGAGUCACCAUUGUGUAUGGUUCAACCUGGUACCUGUCAGUUAUCCAGUCUCGUGUGCCGAUGUCACUGUCACCGUGAGGUGUGGUUCUCAUUCCUGAAUCUGGAUGAAUUGGCUGGAAGCUCAGGAAGGAGGUUUCUCUUCAGGAAAGAAAUGGAAGAAUAUAAGCCUCCUGCUCCAGCAGCGCCCAUGGCUGCCUUCCAGCUGGGCCUGGAUCCUCUGCUAUCGUGGACCCCACCCUGCACGUUCCUGUCUGCAUCUGGAGGCCCCGCGGCCUCUGGCUGUUGGCCUACUAGAGCAAGGCAGACUUUCUCAGCCCAGCAAAGGCGUUGGCUCUGGAGACAAGAAGUUAGAGAGAACUCAAGAAGCCAAUGGAGAAUUUCCCUACAUCCCAGAGGGAUGACACCAUCUCUCCACUUGAAGGGACAGCCAGCCAUGAAUGACCAGCUCCAUGGUGGCAUGCAUGUCCACAAUCUCUACAUGGGAUGUUACCUACUAGAGUGUAGAACACAAGUUUCUAGAUCUUCUCCCUGGAGCUCAUCAACUGAGGUGACUCAGCUACACUCCCCAUUUCUGCUUCUAUUUGUGUGUCUCACUUUACCCACUGCAAACUAACUACCUCUUCCUCUUUUCCCUCUGUGUCCUCUACCUUAAUCUUAGUACUGGAUACCUCUUAGACUCAGCUUAGUUAUUAUUCCUUAUGCUUCCCAGUCUACCUCAUGGGUGUAUUUAUUACAUCUGUUUAAGUUCCAUUUCCAACCUGAUUUUCUCCACGUUUUC
rnacentral:lncRNA from 1 species